AUAGAAUUGAAAGUUUAUUUUACUCUUCUCACUUCAGUCAAUUUUUUGGUGUUAAAAUAGUUUUCUGGAAUCCUUUGAGAAUUUGUACCAGUCUCUUUAUAUUCAUUUGGGAGCCUGUCUUUUCCUAUUCAGAAUUCUCUCAUUUAUUUACUCCAAGCAACCCUAACUUAGCAUCCCACUGCAUUUGAAAAUUGUUGAGAUCUUGCAUAGUCUUAUAAAAAUACACGUUUUAAAGUCAGAAUGACCUGGGGUUGGAAUUCCAGUCCUACCACUUAACCUGUGUAACUGCACACUUCACUUAACCACAGCGCACUUCCAUUUACUCAUCUGUAACACUGAAGAUAGACAGGAGUACUAACUUGAGGCGCUUUACAGUGAUGGAGAGGAUGCUUAAUGCACGUCAGGUACUGGCACAUAAUCUUAGCCGCCCAUAUUUUUAGUGUUAUCUCAUAUUUCUCUGAGACAGCAAACUAAGGAACAAGUUUUGUUUUGUUUUUUUAAAUGAGGAUAUUUAUUGAGGAUACACACAAAAAAGACCUAUUUAUUCUGCAUAGCUUCACUUUAGGUUUUAAAUACACUACGGAAGUUCAUGAAAGAUAGUUUUACCAUUUUUGUUGUGUUAUGUGAGAAGCCAAUGAGUGCACCUCAUUUUCCAGAAUAAGUGUGUUCCUAAUUAGUGAAGUACAAUGUGUACAUUAUAAAAUUAAAAUAAUGGACUAAAAUAUCCGUCCCCAAGUAAAAUUUAAAAUACAUACUAACAUAUAACCCAAUUUCAACAUAUUAAGUGAAUAUGUAUUCUUAAAAGAUCCACUACUUUACAUUUAGAUGCGUUAGGAUGUAUUAGAAAUAAAAACAGAAGAAAAGAUUUAGAAUCUAGUCUGUCUUUGCCACUCAAGCUAGUUACCCUCUCUGAGUUUUAUACCCCCUUCAUCUAUUAAAAUGGGGGGUAACGCCAACCUGACUCCUUUAAAAUGAGUUUGAGAGUCAGGCAAAUUAGAAAGAUACAUAGAUGAAAACUUUUUAAAAAGUAUAUAGUCUUUCAUGAUUUGUAGAACACUUUUAUACUUUUCAGAGUACUUUCACAUUGAUCAUAUUGUUUGUACUUUAUGAAAGUCUUCUACAAAUCAGAAUUAUGCUUAUUAUACAGAGUGGCACAGAUAAAGGUAAUAUUUAAUGGCUGCUUAAUAUUGCAGAAAGAACGUGGAGUUUAUAGUCCUACCCGACUCCACCACUUCCUAGCUUCACCUGUUUCUACGUGUGAUGGUGUGGAAAUUACUCAACUUCUGAGAGCCUCAGUUUCUCCACAUAGAAACUGAGUACAGAGUAGGUGACAGUUACUAGUUCUUCUUACUGGGAGUGUAAACACAUAAUCUCUGUGAUACUAGCCUAUUAAAUCCAGAGGCUUAUUUGCACCCUAGAGUAAAUACUCUGCUUUAAAACUAGAUGUUUUAAACCUUUAUUUCUAUCAGUUCUGAAAAGCUAUCAUGUAAUUAAAGUAUUGUUGAAAAUGCUUUAAGAGCUAAUUUUUUGUGCAUGGUCUUUUUUGAUAUUUGAAUAUGUGCUUUGAAGAUGAAUAGAACAUCGUCUCUGUCCUCUAGGGGCCUACUAGGUGUUUGUGCAAGAGACAAGUUUAACAAAUAGCUCCCG
rnacentral:lncRNA from 1 species